ACGGGGGGGGCAAGCGUUGUUCGGAAUUACUGGGCGUAAAGCGUGCGCAGACGGUCAUGUAAGUCGGGUGUGAAAGCCCCGGGCUCAACCUGGGAAUUGCAUUCGAGACUGUGUGGCUAGGGUGCGGAAGAGGGAAGCGGAAUUUCCGGUGUAGCGGUGAAAUGCGUAGAUAUCGGAAGGAACACCAGUGGCGAAAGCGGCUUCCUGGUCCAGCACCGACGUUCAGGCACGAAAGCGUGGGGAGCAAACAGGA
rnacentral:rRNA from 1 species